rnacentral:misc_RNA from 1 species
GAUGAAUAACGUAGCGAAAUGCGAUAAGUAGUGUGAAUUGCAGAAUUCAGUGAAUCAUCGAGUCUUUGAACGCACAUUGCGCCCCCUGGUAUUCCGGGGGGCAUGCCUGUCCGAGCGUCAUUGCUGCCCUCAAGCACGGCUUGUGUGUUGGGCCUCCGUCCUCCUCCCGGGGGACGGGCCCGAAAGGCAGCGGCGGCACCGCGUCCGGUCCUCGAGCGUAUGGGGCUUCGUCACCCGCUCUUGUAGGCCCGGCCGGCGCUUGCCGACACAUCAAUCUUUUUUCCAGGUUGACCUCGGAUCAGGUAGGGAUACCCGCUGAACUUAAGCAUAUCAAUAAGCGGAGGA